rnacentral:tRNA from 1 species
GGCGGCGUAGCUCAGCCGGUUAGAGCGUUCGGUUCAUACCCGAAAGGUCGGGGGUUCGAUUCCCUCCACCGCUACCA